rnacentral:rRNA from 1 species
CAUGUCUUAAUGAAUAUAAUUUUAAGUCUAGCCUGCCCAAUGAUUUUUUAAAUGGCCAUAGUAAUUUGACUGUGCUAAGGUAGCAUAAUCAUUAGUUUUUUAAUUAAAAACCGGUAUGAAUGGUUGGAUGAGAAAAUAACUGUCUCUUUGUUAAUAAAUUAUAAUUUUAUUUUUAAGUUAAAAAGCUUAAAUUUUAUAGAAAGACGAGAAGACCCUAUAGAUUUUUAUAUAUUUAUUUUAUGUUAAUAUGGAUUUUUAUUAAUAUAAAAGAUUAUAUAUUUAGUUGGGGUGACUUAUAAAUUUAUUUAACUUUAUAAAAUUUUUUUUACUUUUAAGUAUAUAUUUGAUCUUAAAUUUUAGAUUAUAAGAAAAAAUUACCUUAGGGAUAACAGCGUAAUUUUUUAAAAAGUUCUUAUUGAAAAAAAAGUUUGCGACCUCGAUGUUGGAUUAAAAUUUAUAUUUGGUGUAGAAGCUAAAAUAUUAGGUCUGUUCGACCUUUAAAAUUUUACAUGAUCUGAGU